UGAAGAAAAUUCAGCUCCUGAAGAUAUUUACAUUCAUGUCAGUAACUGAGUAAUUGAUGUUAAAUCUAUUGCUGAUGAAUUGUGGUGUAAUAAAUGCAAUUUACAAUUAAGUUUAAAACACAUUGUCAAAGAGAACAUUUUGGGGUUAGCAAGUAUUUUUUAUGUGAAGUGUACGAAAUGUAAAAACAUUUACUUAGUUAAUACAAGCAGUUUAAAAAAUAAUAAUACAAAUCACAAACAAUUUAACAUAAACUUGAGACUAGCUUUUGCUUUCAUUGAUGCAGGGAUCGGAGAAGCUCAGAUCAAUACAAUUCUUUCUGCGUUAGAUAUACCAAUAAUAAACAGUGCAUUGCUGAAAAGAUAUGGAAGAAUUGUUGGAGCAGCUAUUGAACAGGUGGCCGAGGAUAGUUGUCAAGACUUCAUACGUCUAGAAAAACAAUUAACAAUAGAUGCUGAUAAAAAACAAUCCUCUGAUACAACGAUAUACGUCACUGAUUGGAUAUUAUAGUGGUAAAGUGAUUUCUUACAACACUCGUUCAACAAGAUGUUCAAGAUGUGAACACGGUCAUCCCAAAAGUGAUCACGAUUGUCGUGAAAAUUUUGAUGGAUCUGCACGAGCUAUGGAACCUGAUAUGUCUGUGGAAUUAGUUACUAACAAUAAACUCUUGAAGGAAGAAAAUGUGAUUAUUUCUGUCUUAAUCGGUGACGAUGACUCUUCAGCAAUAGCAGCAAUUCGUCGAGAAGCAUCGCAUUAAGUUGAAAAAUGGUCUGAUUCUAAGCAUGCCAAAAAAAAUUGAAAUUCACGUUUAUAUAAAUUGGGUUUAUCUGCAAAGGUUGUAAAUUAUUUCGGACAGACGUUUGUCCGUGUUUUAAAUCACAACAAAAUAAUGUUGAAGCUGCUGCCGAAGCUUUGUCAAAUAUUGUUCCUCAUGUAUACGGAAAUCACGAUAAAUGCGGAGAGUGGCUAAAAUGCCACGAAAAAGAGAAUAAUUUUAUUUACAAAGAUUUACCCAAAAAACAACCUUUAACUGACCCAAAGUUAUUCGAAAAUCUCAAUAACAUCUUUGAUAAGCUGUCAGCCAAUGCAUCAAAGUUAGCACCAUGUGGUUCAUCGCAAAGCAAUGAAUCAUUUAACAACAUUGUGAUAAAUAAACAUCCAAAAAAUAAAUUUUAUGGCUCAUCUGAAUCAUUCGACUAUAGAGUAGCUGCAGCUGUUUGUCAAAAAAAUUAUAGCACAAAAUAUAUAGAAUAU